CAUGUACAUACACCUCAUGAUGUCCUUUCCAGCAAGUUUCUCUACGGCCACUCUACACCAUCAUUUUAACCGUUGAUUAUAAAUUAUAAUAAUCAAUGGCUAAUAUUGAUCUCAAUAAAAAAAAACUUGUCAAAUAAAAUAGUUGAUUGUGAUUUGUAUGUUGCUGAAGCUGGAGAGGCAGCAGAGUAUCUAAAUCCGCCUACCAAUCUUUUUCCAUAACAUUGUAAUCAGUUCAGUGAUCAAUCAUGAACAAAGUUUUACCCUCUCAAAUUCAGUUUCUCCCUGUUGGAUCAGAAUUCUCAUGCAAGAACAUUCAGAUUUGGAUCAUUUGUCCUCAUAUGAAAUGAUUCCUCGUUGUAGUUGAGUGCGGAGUGCACCAUAACCAAUCUGAUCAUGGAAAGAGAUACCAGCCUAUCAGGGGAAUGCUUAUUGGAUUGAGCUCAAAUCAUAGCCGUUUUAUGCUUCACAUUCUUCAAGUUUAUUAGAUUCCUGGUUUGAUUCCAACACUGUUCAGCACAAGUUAACGUGCAUUAGGGAAAACCCUGUUGACCAUUAAUGUUAAUCUAACCUAUGAAACAUGGAAAAAGCAGUCACUCCUAAUAAGUGCUAAAUAAAUUCUAUAUUGUUUCUGAUUAUUCAAGUAGAUCUUUAUCUAAUCGAGUCGAACAAAUCCUAAAUUUAUUUUUGGGAUAUUCAAUCGAAUUGGAAUAAGUAAUGUGUAUCACAUGCUUUGAUGCGACAGAUUAUGAAAUUCAUUGGAACCCAAACACUAUGAAGAGAUGAAUAUAUAAAAAGAGUAAACAAAACUUAGGGAGGUGUAAAGUUGGCUGCUAAUCAAUUAGUUAAUAUUAACCUUACUAUAGUGGUGAUUCCUUCAGGGGCAGGGAAAAAUGUUAAUUAUGAUAAUGGGUCAUAUAUAAGGCCUUCAAUAUCCCAGAAACUGAAGCAUUAAUUGUUAGAGGAACUCUGAAAACAGGGAACUUACUCUGUAAUUUGCUGCAGCAACCUCGAAGCUAGUUCAAAC
rnacentral:lncRNA from 1 species